CGCAGAAUAUUUUAUAAAAAGUAAUAAGAAACUAUUUAGUAGAUAUUAUUUAAUAUUCUAAUUUUGUAUUGUUUUGAAAAAUUCAACUAAAUACCAUGAGUUAAUAACUGGUGAUCAAAAUAAACUUUGGAAGGCUGAAAUAUUAGCUCACUAGAAACACGGAGGAAAACAUGUUAUUAUCAACUCUUCAGAGAGGCAAUGAUUUUCUUUUUUAAACUUUGAAAUGACAGAGGAAACCACAAGGAGAAAUGAUUGACACCUGCAGUUACAUAAGAAAGUGGUAAAUAUACAACCAGCAAUAUAACUUAGGCCAGCAGAUGGGAGCGACUUUUAUCUAACAUGACACCCAAGCUCUCAUCUGUGGGGGAAACUCCCAGGAAGCUGAGUACAGUGGCAAACUCUUUCCAAUGUGUUGGAUGAAGAAGGAAUGGAGAAAGAUGAGCUCCAGGUGGGAACAAGACAGCUGUUCACACUGUGCAUGAGGAGAAGGUUGUGGGCCUGAUACCCAGCACCUUCUGAUACAAUGAGAACUAGACCUCAGGGAGGAGGCUUCCGGGUCAGCACCAGAAUGAAUCUUCUAAGUUCUGUCUCUGAAGUUUGUGAUGUCUUCAGUAACAAAGCUUACCCUGAAGCUUUUGGAGAUUACAGAUGAAAACCAGCUGUUGAUUGUGAGAAAAUGCAUCCAGGUUCAUAAAUCCUGACUGCAAGUGUAGUGACCAAAGUGGAGGUGCUAUGGAGUGUAAUUAUCAGAAGACCAGAUGGGCCUCUUAUAUUCUCAUCUGCAUGAAAAUCCCCCCUCUUACUUCUAGCCUUACCACAUUGAGGAUUUCAUUUGUUUAGACAGGCUCUCACAGUACAGCCUAGGUUGUCCAAAGCCCACUAUAUAUCCCAGCUAACAGUGAACUCACACUACCCCUGCCUCAGCCUUCUGGGUGCUAGGAUUAAAGCCAUUAAGCCACAACCCAUGACAACUUCAAAUAAUUUUUCCAAAUCCAUUUCCUCAUCUCUGAAGUGAGGGGCUGAUGCUAAAGCAUUUUGCUGAAAACCAAUUAAUCAUAAGGUGAGUUUAGAAAAGGAGAUGGCCAGACCCAUAGCAAAUGCUAUCAAAAGGUGGACAGCAUCCACCGUGGUAGUUUGGGAGUAAACUGAUUUCAUGGGUCACAGAUGAUGAAGAGGAUAAUGGAGAAUUUUUGUUGUGGGAGGAAGUCAUGUGGUUACAUGUGGAAGCCAUGAACAGGUAUACAGGGUACCAAUACAAAAUAUUUCCUGUUGUGGAUCAUGAUCAACAAAGUUAGGUCAGCAUUAUCAUCUAUUACUUUUGCUGACUUAUCCUUUUGUUUGAUUUUUUUCUCAUGGCUCAGAAUGUAUCUCAUUUUCUCACUGCCAUUUUGGUAGUAACAUGGCCAUUGCCUCACAUAAGAAUAACACUCCCACAAAACUAUGCCUUCUCCAUCCUUCCAGCCAUGGCAGCCAUAAUGCGCAUGCAUUUGACUUCUGUGCAUCUUAUAAGUCACUGAGCAAGUUGCUAUCCACCGUUAUAAAUACAUUUUAAGAUUAAAGAGCACAGUGUAAUACAACAUGAAGAGAAAACGUAUGGAAGUUGCACAACUGAAAUGUAAUAGCUAAUUCAAACAAUUAAGUGGACUGAGUUGCAGUUGGUAAGUCAUAAAUAUGCUCUGUUCUGGGCUCCUGCAGUGAGGAGCAGAAGUAACUGAAAGCCCAGUUUUUCUUUCUCUAGAUUAAUCACAACAUUCACAGCAAGAACAAGCGUCUAUAGGCUGCUCCCAGAUAAUGGCUGAACAUGGCAGGAUAUUAAUGUAAACACAUUUGGGUGAGAUGUUUGAUUUCUUCAAUGCAUGGCUUUAGAUUAAGAAGUUUCAGUAAAUAUAUCAAAAACACAUGCAGACCUGGGGUUUCUUCAUGAAUAUAAAGCUUCAAUAAAGAUUUAAGGGUUCUGUAUACUUUGUUCAGCUUCUCAUCUUUACCUUUUGCAGAUAUUGCCUCUAAUUUAUACACUGAAUGUCUAAUUCCAUCUUUCUCCCCCUUCCCCUCC